UGCAAAUCGGAUAAAUAAGAUAUUCUUUAUAUGAAGCGAACUAAUAUUUUUACUUAUUAAUGUUUGGAAAGAAGAAUUUAAAAUGCAUUUGUUGUCAAGAUAAAAUCAAUCUUCACUUUAGCUUUUACUCACCGCCUCUGGCCACAUUCACGAAGAUUGCACUUGGUUUCAUCAGCUUAAAGGCCUCAGCAUUGAACUUGCCCCGUGUCUGAUCGGUGAGAGGCGCUGCCACGAUCAAAAAGUCGCUCUCCUGCAACAAACGCUCAAAGGGCACAUGCUCCGCCUUGAAGUCCACGUCGUUCUCCUUGCGUGUGCGGGUCGUGUAGAUGAUCUUGGCCACAUCCCAGCUCUGGAGACGUUUGGCAAUCGCCUGACUAAUGC